rnacentral:rRNA from 17 species
GUCCUGCGCCGAAAAUGUCCGGGGCUGAAACACGACACCGAAGCUGAGGAAUGUCUAGAGACAUUGGUAGAGGAGCAUUGGAUACGCAACGAAGCAGUACCGGAAGGAGCUGUGGACUUUUAAGAAGAGAGAAUGCCGGAAUGAGUAGCGAGAGGAAGGUGGGAAUCCUUCCGGCCGAAUAUCUAAGGUUUCCAGAGUAAAGCUGAUCUGCUCUGGGUAAGUCGGGGCCUAAGGCGAGGACGAGAGUCGUAGCCGAUGGACAACAGGUGGAGAUUCCUGUACUGCGGUAUGACAGAACUGUGGGGACACGUAAGGAAAGCGGAAGCCGGGAAUGGAAAGCCCGGUGCAAGCGGGGUACCAGUCACUUUGGCAAAUCCGGGUGGCAAUGGGAAGCCGUGAUGCGGAGCGAAAUAAAGUAGCGAAGUCCGUGAGCCAUGCGUCAAGAAAAGCCGCUAUCGUUUAUACCGUACCCGUACCGUAAACCGACACAGGUGGAUGAGGAGAGAAUCCUAAGGCCGGCGGGAGAAGCAUUGUUAAGGAACUCGGCAAAAUGACCCCGUAACUUCGGGAGAAGGGGUGCCAACGAGAGUUGGCCGCAGAGAAUAGGCUCAAGCAACUGUUUAGCAAAAACACAGGUCUAUGCGAAACCGAAAGGUGAGGUAUAUGGGCUGACGCCUGCCCGGUGCUGGAAGGUUAAG